rnacentral:rRNA from 1 species
UACGUAGGGUGCGAGCGUUAAUCGGAAUUACUGGGCGUAAAGCGUGCGCAGGCGGUUUUGUAAGACAGGCGUGAAAUCCCCGGGCUCAACCUGGGAAUGGCGCUUGUGACUGCAAGGCUAGAGUACGGCAGAGGGGGGUAGAAUUCCACGUGUAGCAGUGAAAUGCGUAGAGAUGUGGAGGAAUACCGAUGGCGAAGGCAGCCCCCUGGGCCGAUACUGACGCUCAUGCACGAAAGCGUGGGGAGCAAACAGGAUUAGAUACCCUGGUAGUCCACGCCCUAAACGAUGUCAACUAGGUGUUGGGUGGGUAAAACCAUUUAGUACCGUAGCUAACGCGUGAAGUUGACCGCCUGGGGAGUACGGCCGCAAGGUUAAA